rnacentral:rRNA from 1 species
CGGAGGGAUCAUUAAAGAGUUCUAUAACUCCCAAACCCAUGUGAACAUACCUAACGUUGCCUCGGCAGGUCGCACCUACCUUGUAGCACCCUACCCUGUAGGGCCUACCCGGGAGAUGCGGGUAAGCCUGCCGGCGGCCCACCAAACUCUGUUUGAUAUUGAAUUCUGAACAUAUAACUAAAUAAGUUAAAACUUUCAACAACGGAUCUCUUGGUUCUGGCAUCGAUGAAGAACGCAGCGAAAUGCGAUAAGUAAUGUGAAUUGCAGAAUUCAGUGAAUCAUCGAAUCUUUGAACGCAUAUUGCGCCCAUUAGUAUUCUAGUGGGCAGGACCGUUCGAGCGUCAUUUCGACCCUUAAGCCUUAGUUGCUUAGUGUUGGGAGCCUACGGCAACGUAGCUCCUCAAAGUUAGUGGCGGAGUUGGUUCACACUCUAGACGUAGUAAUUUUUUAUCUCGCCUAUUAGUUGGACUGAUCCCCUGCCGUAAAACCCCCAACUUAUCAAGGUUGACCUCGAAUCGGUUCAGACAAACUCGCUAAAUUGAAGCAUCUUAGUCAGCGAAGGAAAAGAAACCAACAGGGAUUGCCCUAGUAACGGCGAGUGAAGCGGCAACAGC